rnacentral:rRNA from 1 species
CCAAGGGUAUGGCUGUUCGCCAUUUAAAGUGGUACGCGAGCUGGGUUUAGAACGUCGUGAGACAGUUCGGUCCCUAUCUGCCGUGGGCGCUGGAGAAUUGAGGGGGGCUGCUCCUAGUACGAGAGGACCGGAGUGGACGCAUCACUGGUGUUCGGGUUGUCAUGCCAAUGGCACUGCCCGGUAGCUAAAUGCGGAAGAGAUAAGUGCUGAAAGCAUCUAAGCACGAAACUUGCCCCGAGAUGAGUUCUCCCUGAGACUAUAAGUCUCCUGAAGGAACGUUAAAGACGAUGACGUUGAUAGGCCGGGUGUGUAAGCGCAGCGAUGCGUUGAGCUAACCGGUACUAAUGAACCGUGAGGCUUAACCUUACAACGCCGAAG